GACGAACGCUGGCGGCGUGCUUAACACAUGCAAGUCGAACGGAAAGGCCCUGCUUUUGUGGGGUGCUCGAGUGGCGAACGGGUGAGUAACACGUGAGUAACCUGCCCUUGACUUUGGGAUAACUUCAGGAAACUGGGGCUAAUACCGGAUAGGAGCUCCUGCUGCAUGGUGGGGGUUGGAAAGUUUCGGCGGUUGGGGAUGGACUCGCGGCUUAUCAGCGUGUUGGUGGGGUAUUGGCUUACCAAGGCUUUGACGGGUAGCCGGCCUGAGAGGGUGACCGGCCACAUUGGGACUGCGAUACGGCCCAGACUCCUACGGGAGGCAGCAGUGGGGAAUAUUGCACAAUGGGCGGAAGCCUGAUGCAGCAACGCCGCGUGCGGGAUGACGGCCUUCGGGUUGUAAACCGCUUUCGCCUGUGACGAAGCGUGAGUGACGGUAAUGGGUAAAGAAGCACCGGCUAACUACGUG
rnacentral:rRNA from 1 species